rnacentral:rRNA from 1 species
AUUGAACGCUGGCGGCAGGCCUAACACAUGCAAGUCGAACGAGUGGCGGACGGGUGAGUAAUGUCUGGGAAACUGCCUGAUGGAGGGGGAUAACUACUGGAAACGGUAGCUAAUACCGCAUACCAUCGGAUGUGCCCAGAUGGGAUUAGCUUGUAGGUGGGGUAACGGCUCACCAAGGCGACGCGCCCUAUCUGGUCUGAGGGGAUGACCAGCCACACUGGAACGGAGACACGGUCCAGACUCCUACGGGAGGCAGCAGGGGGGAAUAUUGCACAAGGGGCGAAAGCCUGAUGCAGCCAUGCCGCGUGUAUGAAGAAGGCCUUCGGGUUGUAAAGUACUUUCAGCGGGGAGGCGUUACCCGCAGAAGAAGCACCGGCUAACUCCGUGCCAGCAGCCGCGGUAAUUC